GGAGAGGUGUCCGAGUUGGCCGAAGGAACGCGACUGGAAAUCGCGUAGGCGGCUUAUACCCGCCUCGAGGGUUCGAAUCCCUCCCUCUCCGCCA
rnacentral:tRNA from 1 species